rnacentral:rRNA from 1 species
ACUGGCUCAGAUUGAACGCUGGCGGCAGGCCUAACACAUGCAAGUCGAACGGUAGCAGGAAGAAGCUUGCUCUUGCUGACGAGUGGCGGACGGGUGAGUAAUGUCUGGGAAACUGCCUGAUGGAGGGGGAUAACUACUGGAAACGGUAGCUAAUACCGCAUAACGUCGCAAGACCAAAGAGGGGGACCUUCGGGCCUCUUGCCAUCGGAUGUGCCCAGAUGGGAUUAGCUAGUAGGUGGGGUAACGGCUCACCUAGGCGACGAUCCCUAGCUGGUCUGAGAGGAUGACCAGCCACACUGGAACUGAGACACGGUCCAGACUCCUACGGGAGGCAGCAGUGGGGAAUAUUGCACAAUGGGCGCAAGCCUGAUGCAGCCAUGCCGCGUGUAUGAAGAAGGCCUUCGGGUUGUAAAGUACUUUCAGCGGGGAGGAAGGGAGUAAAGUUAAUACCUUUGCUCAUUGACGUUACCCGCAGAAGAAGCACCGGCUAACUCCGUGCCAGCCGCAGC